UGCAGGGAAGUGUGGCCGAGUCUUGGCAUAGAGAAGACCUUUACAAUACUUCUGACGGCGACGCUGCUAUUGGUGCCCUUAGUGGUGAUGGCUGUGGCGUAUCUGAGGGUGGUGAGGACCUUAUGGUUGGGAGCGAAGAUGGAACACCGAGGCGGCCUACAACCUUUGUCGAAAGCUUCCGAUCUCCAACACUGCCCCUCCAACAGUAUGACUCCUCCACCACCCAACACCAGGAUGUCAGUGAGGUUCCGGAAAAUCCCAACCAUGUCACAAAGAAGAGGAGGAAGAGGAGAAGAAGGUGAAGG